ensembl:lncRNA
GCUGUACCUGCUGCGGAGACUCAGGUCGUUUGGAGUGGAGGGCCCACUCCUGAAGACCUUCUAUGACUCUGUUGUGGCUUCUGCUAUCUUUUAUGGCGUGGUCUGCUGGGGCGGCAGCAUCUCUGCUGGGGACAGGAAGAGACUGAACAGGGUGAUCCGAAGGGCCAGCUCUGUUCUAGGAUGCCCUCUGGACCCAGUGGAGGUGGUGAGUGACAGGAGAACGGCGGCUAAGCUGUCAUCCCUGUUGGACAACAUCUCCCACCCCAUGCAGCAGACUGUGACAGCACUGAGCAGCUCCUUCAGUGGGAGACUGCGGCACCCACGGUGUGGGACGGAGAGAUUUCGCAGGUCUUUCCUCCCCACUGCUGUCAGACUCCAUAAUAAAGACUUUAACUGAUCAAGCACACACAUCCAUACAUAUGCAAUAAUACUAAGUGCAAUAAUCCUUCUGUCAUCGUUGUAUUUUUACUCAGUUGUAUAUAGUAUUUGUAUUUGUAUUCUAUUUUUAUCUUAUUGUAUUUUUAUUUUAUUUUAUUCUACUGUAUAUAGUAUUUUAUUUUAUUCUAUUCUGUACAGUUGUGUACUGUAUUUAUUCUUAUUGUAUUCUAAUUUUUGCCUCAUAACUUUUGCACUGUCCACUUCCUGCUGUGACAAAACAAAUUUCCCACGUGUGGGACUAAUAAAGGUUAUCUUAUCUUAUCUUAUCACCCUGGUUUGGAAGAAUUGCUCUUGAUGAGAUUCCUGCUUGAUUGUACUUGACAGACAUUCUGUAACAGAUUUGAGUUCCACUGCAGCCCUUACAAUUUAUUGGUAGGGGAUGGAAGAAACACGAAAAGAACCUGAAGACCAUGGCAGCAGUGGGAUUCGAACCCACGCCUCCGAAGAGACUGGAGCCUAAAUCCAGCACCUUAGACCGCUCGGUCAUGCUACCAUUGCGAGUGAGGACCUCAUCGCAAAACUCUAGACAGUAAAACUUGAAAAAGUGCA